GCCCGGGUGUCGGAACUGGCAGACGAAGUGGCCUUAAAAGCCACAGCCCGAGAGGGCGUGAGGGUUCGAAUCCCUCCCCGGGCACCG
rnacentral:tRNA from 1 species